rnacentral:rRNA from 1 species
UGGGGAAUAUUGCACAAUGGGCGAAAGCCUGAUGCAGCAACGCCGCGUGAGUGAUGAAGGCCUUCGGGUUGUAAAGCUCUGUCUUCUGGGACGAUAAUGACGGUACCAGAGGAGGAAGCCACGGCUAACUACGUGCCAGCAGCCGCGGUAAUACGUAGGUGGCAAGCGUUGUCCGGAUUUACUGGGCGUAAAGGAUGCGUAGGCGGAUACUUAAGUCAGAUGUGAAAAUCCCGGGCUUAACUUGGGAACUGCAUUUGAAACUGGGUAUCUAGAGUGCGGGAGAGNAAAGUGGAAUUCCUAGUGUAGCGGUGAAAUGCGUAGAGAUUAGGAAGAACACCAGUGGCGAAGGCGACUUUCUGGACCGUAACUGACGCUGAGGCAUGAAAGCGUGGGGAGCAAACA